AACUCCAAAAGCAUCAUUAUUCUUCGACAUCGUUCUCUUUCGGCACGUGCAAGAAGAGCUCUCUUCUUCUUCUUCUUCUGAAAUGGCUCCAAGCGCCCUGAUUUGUCUGGGCAAAGAAUGGAGUUCACCAAGUGGACAUGAAGGCACGUGAAAUCUUGACUCUUCUCGGCUCAUAGAUUAUGAAGACCAGCAUAAACUGAAUAAUAGCACAAUGUGAUUCGCGAUGUCGAGAUCGCUGCUGAAUCAAGCUGACUGCAUGUAGUCACUCUCACUAACAGAUUCCGGAAAUGCCGCGGAUCUACUAGCGAAGGAUUCUUUCCAGGUUUCUUUUGAAGAUGUCUCCACGCCUACACGCACUCCCUUCUUUUAUGCAGCAAGACGUUUUACCUCUCUCCAGAUGUCUCCACGCCUACACGCACUCCCUUCUUGUAUGCAGCAAGUCGUUUUACCUCCCUCCAGGAGGGCAAGAGAAGUAGUCUUGGACUGCACUGAGUGUUCACACGAUGUGGUAGAUCUCUUUCUCGAGAUCAGGAUUCUCAUUUUCAAAGUUCUAUUGUUUGCCAUGCUCAUUGGCUGCCACAAUCUAUGAUGUAAUAAUUAUUACUGUUACUAUUUUCUUCACUAGUUAUUACUAUUAUGCUGGACUGUUCUCCAUACUGUGAAUCAGUGCUUACUUUAUUCUCUGUUGCUUGACUACAAAAGAUUGCUAUGGAAAACUA